AUUGAACGCUGGCGGCAGGCCUAACACAUGCAAGUCGAACGAGUGGCGGACGGGUGAGUAAUGUCUGGGAAACUGCCUGAGGGAGGGGGAUAACUACUGGACACGGUAGCUAAUACCGCAUACCAUCAGAUGUGCCCAGAUGGGAUUAGCCAGUGGGUGGGGUAACGGCUCACCAAGGCGAAGAUCCCUAGCUGGGCUGAGAGGAUGACCAGCCACACUGGUAAUGAGCCGCGGUCCAGACGCCUACGUGAGGCAGCAGUGGGGAUUAUUGCACAAGGGGCGCAAGCCGGAUGCAGCCAUGCCGCGUGUAUGAAGAAGGCCUUCGGGUUGUAAAGUACUUUCAGCGGGGAGGCGUUACCCGCAGAAGAAGCACCGGCUAACUCCGUGCGAGCAGCCGCGGUAAUAC
rnacentral:rRNA from 1 species